AUUGAACGCUGGCGGCAGGCCUAACACAUGCAAGUCGAACGAGUGGCGGACGGGUGAGUAAUGUCUGGGAAACUGCCCGAUGGCGGGGGAUAACUACUGGAAACAGUAGCUAAUACCGCAUACCAUCGGAUGUGCCCAUAUGGGAUUAGCUAGUAGGUGGGGUAACGGCUCACCAAGGCAACGAUCCCUAGCUGGUCUGAGAGGAUGACCAGCCACACUGGAACUUAGACACGGUCCUGACUCCUACGGGAGGCAGCAGUGGGGAAUUGUGGACAAUGGGUGCAAGCCUGAUGCAGCCAUGCCGCGUGUAUGAAGAAGGCCUUCGGGGUGUAAAGUACUUUCAGCCGAGAAGCGUUACCCGCAGAAGAAGAACCGGCUAACUCCGUGCCAGCAGCCGCGGUAAUAC
rnacentral:rRNA from 1 species